CAGUCGCCGCGGUAAAACGUAGGGCGCAAGCGUUAUCCGGAAUUACUGGGCGUAAAGGGCUCGCAGGCGGUUUCUUAAGUCUGAUGUGAAAGCCCCCGGCUCAACCGGGGAGGGUCAUUGGAAACUGGGAAACUUGAGUGCAGAAGAGGAGAGUGGAAUUCCACGUGUAGCGGUGAAAUGCGUAGAGAUGUGGAGGAACACCAGUGGCGAAGGCGACUCUCUGGUCUGUAACUGACGCUGAGGAGCGAAAGCGUGGGGAGCGAACAGGAUUAGAUACCCCAGUAGUCCCUGUCUCUUAUAC
rnacentral:rRNA from 1 species